AGAGUUUGAUCCUGGUUCAGGAUGAACGCUAGCUACAGGCUUAACACAUGCAAGUCGGAGGGGAAACGACAUACGAAAGCUUGUCUUUUGAUGGGUGUCGACCGGCGCACGGGUGAGUAACGCGUAUCCAACCUCGCCCACCACGUUGGGGAUAACCUUGACGAAAGUAAGACUAAUACCCAAUGAUAUCUCUAGAAGACAUCUGAAAGAGAUUAAAGAUUUAUCGGUGAUGGAUGGGGAUGCGUCUGAUUAGCUUGUUGGCGGGGUAACGGCCCACCAAGGCAACGAUCAGUAGGGGUUCUGAGAGGAAGGUCCCCCACAUUGGAACUGAGACACGGUCCAAACUCCUACGGGAGGCAGCA
rnacentral:rRNA from 1 species